rnacentral:rRNA from 1 species
AUUGAACGCUGGCGGCAUGCCUUACACAUGCAAGUCGAACGGCAGCACGGGAGCAAUCCUGGUGGCGAGUGGCGAACGGGUGAGUAAUAUAUCGGAACGUGCCCAGUCGUGGGGGAUAACGUAGCGAAAGCUACGCUAAUACCGCAUACUAUCUAUGGAUGAAAGCGGGGGAUCGCAAGACCUCGCGCGAUUGGAGCGGCCGAUAUCAGAUUAGGUAGUUGGUGAGGUAAAGGCUCACCAAGCCGACGAUCUGUAACUGGUCUGAGAGGACGACCAGCCACACUGGGACUGAGACACGGCCCAGACUCCUACGGGAGGCAGCAGUGGGGAAUUUUGGACAAUGGGCGCAAGCCUGAUCCAGCAAUGCCGCGUGCAGGAUGAAGGCCUUCGGGUUGUAAACUGCUUUUGUACGGAACGAAACGGUGAGCUCUAAUACAGUUUGCUAAUGACGGUACCGUAAGAAUAAGCACCGGCUAACUACGUG